ACAAACUACAACAAAUUAAAGUGCAUUUUGUUGGUUUCUGCUCAAAGGUUUGGAACCUGUGGUAUGUACCAGCAUUGCAAAAUGUGGAUAUGGAUCAAAAUGUGACAGAACCACCGAACGGUGUGUAUGCCAGUCCGACAACGAGACAUUAAGGCAACGGAAUGGCAAUCCUUUUAGUCUGUUUUACUGUGUGGGUAUAGGCGUUACAGAAUGUGGGGAUCAGCUAUGUGGUUACAAAGCAGAAUGUAAGCAGGACAAGUGUGAAUGUUCAUCCAGCAAUGAUGUAUUAACAUAUCUGAAGGGCACUUCUCCUUCCCUGUGGUUCUGCCUUGAAAGUUGUAGCCCUGGUGACAGCAGUUGUGGUGA